rnacentral:rRNA from 1 species
UACGGAGGGUGCGAGCGUUGUCCGGAAUCACUGGGCGUAAAGGGCGCGUAGGUGGCUUGGUAAGCGUGUGGUGAAAGCCCGGGGCUCAACCCCGGGUCUGCCGUGCGAACUGCUAUGGCUAGAGUACUGUAGAGGCAGGUUGAAUUCCGGGUGUAGCGGUGGAAUGCGUAGAGAUCCGGAAGAAUACCGGUGGCGAAGGCGGCCUGCUGGGCAGUUACUGACACUCAGACACGACAGCAUGGGGAGCGAACGGG